rnacentral:rRNA from 1 species
ACCUACGGGGGGCAGCAGUGGGGAAUAUUGGACAAUGGGGGGAACCCUGAUCCAGCGACGCCGCGUGAGUGAAGAAGUAUUUCGGUAUGUAAAGCUCUAUCAGCAGGGAAGAAAAUGACGGUACCUGACUAAGAAGCCCCGGCUAACUACGUGCCAGCAGCCGCGGUAAUACGUAGGGGGCAAGCGUUAUCCGGAUUUACUGGGUGUAAAGGGAGCGUAGACGGCGAUGCAAGCCAGAUGUGAAAGCCCGGGGCUCAACCCCGGGACUGCAUUUGGAACUGUAUAGCUAGAGUGUCGGAGAGGCG